CAUGAAUGUGAGUUUCCGUGUUAAACGUUUAACCGUUUGUUUUAUUAAUUUUUUUACGAUUACUAUUUUUAUUGUUAUUAGAUGAUAAAACAUGAAUAAUAUUUUAUGCGUCUUAUUUUUUAAAUUUUAUCAUAAAUUUUUUAAAUAAAAGAACGAUCAACUGUCAGACACAAAAAUCCACAACUGCAUUUAAA
rfam:Oryza sativa (indica cultivar-group) chromosome 7, whole genome shotgun sequence.